rnacentral:lncRNA from 1 species
AUGUUCUUUACCAGCAGAGCUGAAGGCCGCAUCUUCCCUCCGCUCCGGCACGUUUCGUCCCAACCCGCCCUCCUCCCAGCCCGCAGCUUCCCAGAGCCCUUGGCCCGGGUCCCUGGGGACCACAGGCGUGGGAGCGCCGGCCUCGUGCAGUUCCCUCCCGGCGCCCGCGCCCUUCUUCCUACCUCGCCCGGAAGGACGCACUUCCGGCGGAUAUGGGGGGCGGGCCCGGAAACGGAAGUGAGCAGCGGGCCGCUGACGGUAACGGGGCUGAGAGGUACUGCGGACAGCGGACUGAAGAUGAAUACCAGAGGACUUGGAUCUCAGCUAAAGGACAGCAUUCCAGUUACUGAACUUUCAGCAAGUGGCCCUUUUGAAAGUCAAGAUCUUCUUCGGAAAGGGUAAAUAGGGGAGUUGUGACAUCGACUUUGUUUUAAUAAAUGUUUCUGUGAAUUAUUUUUCACAAUGUUUUUUAACAGUGUUGAUAUGCCCUAAAUAUAUAUUUAAUUUGAGAGAUAUUA